AUUGAACGCUGGCGGCAGGCCUAACACAAGCAAGUCGAACGGUAACAGGAAACAGCUUGCUGUUUCGCUGACGAGUGGCGGACGGGUGAGUAAUGUCUGGGAAACUGCCUGAUGGAGGGGGAUAACUACUGGAAACGGUAGCUAAUACCGCAUAACGUCGCAAGACCAAAGAGGGGGACCUUCGGGCCUCUUGCCAUCGGAUGUGCCCAGAUGGGAUUAGCUAGUAGGUGGGGUAACGGCUCACCUAGGCGACGAUCCCUAGCUGGUCUGAGAGGAUGACCAGCCACACUGGAACUGAGACACGGUCCAGACUCCUACGGGAGGCAGCAGUGGGGAAUAUUGCACAAUGGGCGCAAGCCUGAUGCAGCCAUGCCGCGUGUAUGAAGAAGGCCUUCGGGUUGUAAAGUACUUUCAGCGGGGAGGAAGGGAGUAAAGUUAAUACCUUUACUCAUUGACGUUACCCGCAGAAGAAGCACCGGCUAACUCCGUG
rnacentral:rRNA from 1 species